ensembl:piRNA 21ur-588 ncRNA
UGAUCUAUGCUUUUUUGUUCA